rnacentral:rRNA from 1 species
GAUGAACGCUGACAGAAUGCUUAACACAUGCAAGUCUAUGGUGAAGUAAGUGCUUGCACUAAUGGAGCCAUGGCGGACGGGUGAGUAACGCGUAAAGAACUUACCUUAUGGACUGGGAUAACAGUUGGAAACGACUGAUAAGACUGGAUAUAAUUAUAUAUUUGCAUGAAUGUAUAAUGAAAAGAGAUGCCAUAAGAGAGCUUUGCGUCCUAUUAGCUAGUUGGUGAGGUAAAGGCUCACCAAGGCGAUGAUAGGUAGCCGGCCUGAGAGGGUGAACGGCCACGAGGGGACUGAGAUACGGCCCUUACUCUUACGGGAGGCAGCAGUGGGGAAUAUUGGACAAUGGAGGUAACUCUGAUCCAGCAAUUCUGUGUGCACGAGGAAGGUUUUCGGAUUGUAAAGUGCUUUCAGUUGGGAAGAAGGAAGUGACGGUACCAACAGAAGAAGCGACGGCUAAAUACGUGCCAGCAGCCGCGGUAAUACGUAUGUCGCGAGCGUUAUCCGGAAUUAUUGGGCAUAAAGGGCAUCUAGGUGGUUAUGCAAGUCAGGGGUGAAAACUUACGGCUCAACCGUGAGCUUGCCUUUGAAACUGUGUGACUAGAGUACUGGAGAGGUGGGCGGAACUACACGAGUAGAGGUGAAAUUCGUAGAUAUGUGUAGGAAUGCCGAUGAUGAAGAUAGCUCACUGGACAGAAACUGACGCUGAAGUGCGAAAGCUAGGGGAGCAAACAGGAUUAGAUACCCUGGUAGUCCUAGCUGUAAACGAUGAUCACUGGGUGUGGGCAUGAAGAGUGUCUGUGCCGAAGCGAAUGCGAUAAGUGAUCCGCCUGGGGAGUACGACCGCAAGGUUGAAACUCAAAGGAAUUGACGGGGACCCGCACAAGCGGUGGAGCAUGUGGUUUAAUUCGACGCAACGCGAGGAACCUUACCAGAUCUUGACAUCCUCAGAAUCGAUUAGAAGUAAUUGAGUGCCUUCGGGAACUGAGAGACAGGUGGUGCAUGGCUGUCGACAGCUCGUGUCGUGAGAUGUUGGGUUAAGUCCCGCAACGAGCGCAACCCUUAUCGUUAGUUACCAUCAUUAAGUUGGGGACUCUAGCGAGACUGCCUGCGAAGAGCAGGAGGAAGGUGGGGAUGACGUCAAGUCAUCAUGCCCCUUAUGAUCUGGGCUACACACGUGCUACAAUGGUUGGUACAGCGAGGAGCGAGACGGAGACGUGGAGCAAAUCUGUGAAAGCCAAUCUUAGUUCGGAUUGAAGUCUGCAACUCGACUUCAUGAAGUUGGAAUCGCUAGUAAUCGCAAAUCAGCAAUGUUGCGGUGAAUACGUUCUCGGGUCU